GAAUAGGGGAGCCGGAGGGAAACCGAGUCUUAACCGGGCGUUAAGUUGCAGGGUAUAGACCCGAAACCCGGUGAUCUAGCCAUGGGCAGGUUGAAGGUUGGGUAACACUAACUGGAGGACCGAACCGACUAAUGUUGAAAAAUUAGCGGAUGACCUGUGGCUGGGGGUGAAAGGCCAAUCAAACCGGGAGAUAGCUGGUUCUCCCCGAAAGCUAUUUAGGUAGCGCCUCGUGAAUUCAUCUCCGGGGGUAGAGCACUGUUUCGGCUAGGGGGCCAUCCCGGCUUACCAACCCGAUGCAAACUGCGAAUACCGGAGAAUGUUAUCACGGGAGACACACGGCGGGUGCUAACGUCCGUCGUGAAGAGGGAAACAACCCAGACCGCCAGCUAAGGUCCCAAAGUCAUGGUUAAGUGGGAAACGAUGUGGGAAGGCCCAGACAGCCAGGAUGUUGGCUUAGAAGCAGCCAUCAUUUAAAGAAAGCGUAAUAGCUCACUGGUCGAGUCGGCCUGCGCGGAAGAUGUAACGGGGCUAAACCAUGCACCGAAGCUGCGGCAGCGACGCUGAUGCGUUGUUGGGUAGGGGAGCGUUCUGUAAGCCUGCGAAGGUGUGUCGUGAGGCAUGCUGGAGGUAUCAGAAGUGCGAAUGCUGACAUAAGUAACGAUAAAGCGGGUGAAAAGCCCGCUCGCCGGAAGACCAAGGGUUCCUGUCCAACGUUAAUCGGGGCAGGGUGAGUCGACCCCUAAGGCGAGGCCGAAAGGCGUAGUCGAUGGGAAACGGGUUAAUAUUCCCGUACUUGGUGUUACUGCGAAGGGGGGACGGAGAAGGCUAUGUUGGCCGGGCGACGGUUGUCCCGGUUUAAGCGUGUAGGUGUGUGUUCCAGGUAAAUCCGGUUCACUUUAACACUGAGGCGUGAUGACGAGGCACUACGGUGCUGAAGCAACAAAUGCCCUGCUUCCAGGAAAAGCCUCUAAGCAUCAGGUAACAUCAAAUCGUACCCCAAACCGACACAGGUGGUCAGGUAGAGAAUACCAAGGCGCUUGAGAGAACUCGGGUGAAGGAACUAGGCAAAAUGGUGCCGUAACUUCGGGAGAAGGCACGCUGACACGUAGGUGAAGUGAUUUACUCAUGGAGCUGAAGUCAGUCGAAGAUACCAGCUGGCUGCAACUGUUUAUUAAAAACACAGCACUGUGCAAACACGAAAGUGGACGUAUACGGUGUGACGCCUGCCCGGUGCCGGAAGGUUAAUUGAUGGGGUCAGCGCAAGCGAAGCUCCUGAUCGAAGCCCCGGUAAACGGCGGCCGUAACUAUAACGGUCCUAAGGUAGCGAAAUUCCUUGUCGGGUAAGUUCCGACCUGCACGAAUGGCGUAAUGAUGGCCAGGCUGUCUCCACCCGAGACUCAGUGAAAUUGAACUCGCUGUGAAGAUGCAGUGUACCCGCGGCAAGACGGAAAGACCCCGUGAACCUUUACUAUAGCUUGACACUGAACAUUGAGCCUUGAUGUGUAGGAUAGGUGGGAGGCUUUGAAGUGUGGACGCCAGUCUGCAUGGAGCCGGCCUUGAAAUACCACCCUU
rnacentral:rRNA from 1 species